ACGCUAUACGUUGUACAUAGUGCGCCGUGCUACUGGCCAAUGGUGUGUAUAAAAUUAACGCAGUAUCUUGUUGUAGAAAUUAUGAGCUAGCAGAGGUUGCAUUGUGCAAAAGAAUUUGUAUCGGGACACCUACUGGACGUUGUAUAUAUAUGAAGCAGUGGUAUUAGUUAUUGGCUGUAAAUAGCCCCUACACAUACGCGUAGCCUUGGCUGGAAUUUGAAUCGCAGAGAGCUUCAUUGACAAGGGAGACAGCUGAACCUGAAUCUAUAAGCGCAUGAGUUUAUUUGUCUGCGACCGAAGCAAAA